rnacentral:rRNA from 1 species
UGCAGUCGAGCGGUAACAGAGAGUAGCUUGCUACUUUGCUGACGAGCGGCGGACGGGUGAGUAAUGCUUGGGAACAUGCCUUGAGGUGGGGGACAACAGUUGGAAACGACUGCUAAUACCGCAUAAUGUCUACGGACCAAAGAGGGCUUCGGCUCUCGCCUUUAGAUUGGCCCAAGUGGGAUUAGCUAGUUGGUGAGGUAAUGGCUCACCAAGGCGACGAUCCCUAGCUGGUUUGAGAGGAUGAUCAGCCACACUGGGACUGAGACACGGCCCAGACUCCUACGGGAGGCAGCAGUGGGGAAUAUUGCACAAUGGGCGCAAGCCUGAUGCAGCCAUGCCGCGUGUGUGAAGAAGGCCUUCGGGUUGUAAAGCACUUUCAGUCAGGAGGAAAGGUUAGUAGUUAAUACCUGCUAGCUGUGACGUUACUGACAGAAGAAGCACCGGCUAACUCCGUGCCAGCAGCCGCGGUAAUACGGAGGGUGCGAGCGUUAAUCGGAAUUACUGGGCGUAAAGCGUACGCAGGCGGUUUGUUAAGCGAGAUGUGAAAGCCCCGGGCUCAACCUGGGAACUGCAUUUCGAACUGGCAAACUAGAGUGUGAUAGAGGGUGGUAGAAUUUCAGGUGUAGCGGUGAAAUGCGUAGAGAUCUGAAGGAAUACCGAUGGCGAAGGCAGCCACCUGGGUCAACACUGACGCUCAUGUACGAAAGCGUGGGGAGCAAACGGGAUUAGAUACCCCGGUAGUCCACGCCGUAAACGAUGUCUACUAGAAGCUCGGAGCCUCGGUUCUGUUUUUCAAAGCUAACGCAUUAAGUAGACCGCCUGGGGAGUACGGCCGCAAGGUUAAAACUCAAAUGAAUUGACGGGGGCCCGCACAAGCGGUGGAGCAUGUGGUUUAAUUCGAUGCAACGCGAAGAACCUUACCUACACUUGACAUACAGAGAACUUACCAGAGAUGGUUUGGUGCCUUCGGGAACUCUGAUACAGGUGCUGCAUGGCUGUCGUCAGCUCGUGUUGUGAGAUGUUGGGUUAAGUCCCGCAACGAGCGCAACCCCUAUCCUUAGUUGCUAGCAGGUAAUGCUGAGAACUCUAAGGAGACUGCCGGUGAUAAACCGGAGGAAGGUGGGGACGACGUCAAUCAUCAUGGCCCUUAC